GGACCAUCCUCCAAGGCUAAAUACUCCUGACUGACCGAUAGUGAACCAGUACCGUGAGGGAAAGGCGAAAAGAACCCCGGCGAGGGGAGUGAAAAAGAACCUGAAACCGUGUACGUACAAGCAGUGGGAGCACCUUCGGGUGUGACUGCGUACCUUUUGUAUAAUGGGUCAGCGACUUAUAUUCUGUAGCAAGGUUAACCGUAUAGGGGAGCCGCAGGGAAACCGAGUCUUAACUGGGCGUUAAGUUGCAGGGUAUAGACCCGAAACCCGGUGAUCUAGCCAUGGGCAGGUUGAAGGUUGGGUAACACUAACUGGAGGACCGAACCGACUAAUGUUGAAAAAUUAGCGGAUGACUUGUGGCUGGGGGUGAAAGGCCAAUCAAACCGGGAGAUAGCUGGUUCUCCCCGAAAGCU
rnacentral:rRNA from 1 species